rnacentral:lncRNA from 1 species
UAGGGGAGGCCUGGCAGGACGGCCGAGGAGGAGCUUUACAUCACCGCUCCCCACCCAGGGCGGGAGCCCUCGCCGCCCAUCGUAAACUUGAGCCGGAGCAGGAGGAGCUCGCUCGCGAGCAGCCAUCCGAGGGACAGGCUCCAGCCGCCGCCAGGAGCUCUCCGGGGAGGGUCGCUGGCUCCCCACCUCGAGAGGAAGGAGGACAGCCCAGCCCACACCCGGAGGAGACGCACGCAGGCUCCUGAGACACAAAGGAAGCCCCGAGGCCACGCACGGCCCCCGCCCGGCACGCGGUGACGGCUCGUGUCCUGCCACUGCACGACUGGGACGUGGGUCCCUGCCCGCGUGUGCUCCGCGGCGGGCCCUCCCCGCCAUGAGCCUGCGGGUCACCCGGGUCACCCGAGAAGGCCCAGCUCUGGGACAAGCAGGGGACGCCCGUUAACCCCCGCGACGGCCGCCGAGCCUGGCAGACGCGGAGGAGACGAAGCCUUCUCCUCCCCGGAGCCUGCGCACAUGCCGGGCCCCCAGGGAGGCGGGAGGUGAGGAGGACGCUCGCGCCUCCGGCCCCUCGGACCACGCGUGGGCCGCGCCCGCCGCCGGCGCCAUGGGGCAGCUGCUGGCCCAAUGCUGCUGGUGCUGCUGGCUGCUGCUGCUGCUGCUCGGCCGCGGCUUGCAGGUGCGGGGAGCCCACUCCCGAUCGCAAGACCACCCAGGGUUUGAGGUCCUGGCUUCUGCCUCCCAUUACUGGCCGCUGGAGAGCGUGGACGGGAUCCGCGAGCUGCAGGACACCACCGGAGCGUUGCGAACCCACAACCUCACUGUGCCCCCUCCCCAUAACUCUACCUUUGUGCACACCAACGACUCUGCCUACUCCAACCUCUCUGCGACGUAGGUGAGCAGCGCCCCUUCGCUCUGCGACCCGUCUGGUCGGAGAGUUCUAAGGCCGGCGCCCUCGGGGGCGCGGGCGUUCUCUCUGCCGUGGCCGGCAGAUGAGCCAAUGUCCCAGGUGCGGCAGGCCCAGGUGUCAGCGGUGGCCACGUAGGGCUGACCCUGAGGCAGGUGUCACAGGUCCAGGUACAUCAGGAGGUGGGACGAGCCCUUCAGGUUGCCGGCACUUUCUGAACAGGCUGCUUGUUUUCAGCACGAAAUAGACGCAGGAGGAGACCUUUUCUAAACAUGAGAAAUAUUUGGAUUUUUAGACAGAGCCUGUGCUUUGGGGCAGGCAGAGCAGGCCCUUUGAAUGGAAAAGCAAGGCUGGUUUUCAUUUUUUUUUGAGACAGAGUCUCGCUUGUUUGCCCAGGCUAGUGAGUGCGUGCCGGGCGUCAGCCUAGCUCACAGGCAACCUCAAA